rnacentral:tRNA from 1 species
GAUUCCGUAGUGUAGCGGUUAUCACGUUCGCCUAACACGCGAAAGGUCCCCGGUUCGAACCCGGGUGGAAUCA